CCACCUUAGCAUUUACAGUGUUUUUUAGAAUUUAUGUACAUGAAAACUUGUUUUAGGUCUUAGAGGAAUUAAUUAUAUUGGAAGACAAAUUCUUUUGCAGGUUGGCUGGAGAUGAGGGACAGAGAUCGUGAAGCAACAUACAGGACAGAUGUGAGGAGGAAUGAUGAGGCCCUACAGCGAAUGCAAAAGAAACUGCAGGCUACUGAAUAUUCGAGGUUGCUUCGCCAGGAAUACGGGUAGCAGAGUUCAGAAUGUACGUUCGGUGGGCCAUGCUUGCAGAGCAAUCAGCAGCAGCAAACUGCAUUCCGACCAGAAUCACAGCCUGGGGAGCAGCAGCACUUACAAUACGUGGUAUUUGGACCAAAGUUGCAACAUAGUGAGCAGCAGUACCCAACAAACUUUUUUUUUGAUCUAACCUCAUGGCCUGAGGAGCAGCAGCACUUAUAAUACGUGGUGCCUCGACCAGAGUUGCAACCUGGUGAGUAGCAGUACCCAGCAAACUUUCCUUCUAAUCCAACCUCAUGGUCUGGGGACCAACAGCACUUACAAUAUGUGGUGCCGGGACCAGACUUGCAACCUGGUGAGCAGCAGUAUCCAACAAACUUUCAUUCUGAUCCAACCUCAUGGCCUGGGGAGCAGCAGCACUUACAAUACGUGGUGCUUGGACCAGAAUUGCAACCUGGUGAGCAGCAAUAUCCAUCAAACAUCUAUUCUGAUCCAACCUCAUGACCUAGGGAGUAGCAGCACUUACAAUACGUGGUGCCUGGAUUAAAGUUGCAAUCUGGAGAAAACAAGGAUGGGCAGCUUGGUGCUAUGACAAAGAAAGGCAACCUCAGAAUUUUGUUCAGCCACGUAUGGUAAAAGGGGCACCAGCUUUACAUGUGAAAGGGGACAGAAAGUUGGGGAUCAAAAAGUGCACAGGAAAUGUGCAAGAAGUACAUUUUGAUGACAAUUUUGAUCAAAUCUCUCAACGGCGACAAAGCAUGGUUUUGUAAGGUUUCUCUUAAUUAUCUUUGUUAGUUUUAACAUUUUGAUGUGAAAAGUUUCAGUCUUCCAUGGUCAAUUGAAGGAAAAAAAGUAGUCCUGGAUUGACCAAUGGUUAGGAAAGCAAUGGUUGGUAAAUGGGAUUAAGAAAUCAAUGUCUGGCUUGCAGUAUGCACCAAGGACACAUACAAGUACUUCCAUGGUUAGAUUAGUUGGAAUGUUGCAGUUAGAGCAAGGAUAAUCAACAGCUUUUAUAGCCACAUGAACAAUGAAUGUUAUAUUGCUUUGCUA